rnacentral:rRNA from 1 species
GACGAACGCUGGCGGCGUGCCUAACACAUGCAAGUCGAACGGAACUGUUUUGAAAGAUUUCUUCGGAAUGAAUUUGAUUUAGUUUAGUGGCGGACGGGUGAGUAACGCGUGAGUAACCUGCCUUCAAGAGGGGGAUAACAUUCUGAAAAGAAUGCUAAUACCGCAUGAUAUAUCGGAACCACAUGGUUUUGAUAUCAAAGAUUUUAUCGCUUGAAGAUGGACUCGCGUCCGAUUAGUUAGUUGGUGAGGUAACGGCUCACCAAGACCGCGAUCGGUAGCCGGACUGAGAGGUUGAACGGCCACAUUGGGACUGAGACACGGCCCAGACUCCUACGGGAGGCAGCAGUGGGGGAUAUUGCGCAAUGGGGGCAACCCUGACGCAGCAACGCCGCGUGAAGGAUGAAGGUUUUCGGAUUGUAAACUUCUUUUAUUAAGG